rnacentral:rRNA from 1 species
UCGCGACUAGGUGAAAAACUGGUUCAUAAGUUGAUCAAGCAAUGUGCUUUUUCAUUAGGUUUUUAACUGUUUGUAUAUAUGAUCUAAAACUUGUUACAAGUUGAACGAUUGUAUUUGCAAUUAGCUAUAAUCGCUUGGUAUGAUCUCAAAUGAGGCAAGGCAACCCCCUGAGUUUAAGCAUAUUCAUAAGGGGAGGAAAAGAAACUAAAUAGGAUUCCCUCAGUAACGGCGAGUGAACCGGGAAAAGCUCAACCUGAAUCUCAGUUGGUUUCCUUCUGUGACUUGUGGGUUAUGGAGGCAUAUUCAGCGUGUGGCCCUGGUCUAAGUCUGUUGGAAAGCAGCUGUCAGAGAGGGUGAGAACCCCGUCUGUGACUAGGAGUCCGCCGCGUACGAAUUGUCAUCCGAGAGUCGGAUUGCUUGUGAAUGCAAUCUUAAGACAGGUGGUAAAUUCCAUCUAAAGCUAAAUACCUAUGAUAGUCCGAUAGCGCACAAGUACCGUAAGGGAAAGGCGAAAAGAACUUUGGAAAGAGAGUUAAAAGUACUUGAAACUGCUUAAAGUAAUGGGAUAAGAACUGUUGGAUCGGGUCGCCACUUUAACCUCAGUUUCCGCGGUUUUAGGUAUCUUUUGCAUGACAGCUGUUCAUUUUUCUUGGUUCCUUGUGUUCCUUUUUAAAUGUAUAGGUUUUGCUUAGUGUCCGACAUCUGUGCUGAGGGUUAGUGAGCGCGAGUAGUGUCAAAAUGGAUUUGGUGCUUAUACGAGAGUUUUGAGGUUGGUAGAGUUUUGAUCGUUGGUCUUCCCUCGUGAUUCUCGAAUGUCUCUUUACAAUUUUAUUUGCUCUGGAUCAAGGCUUUUUGCGAUAUUUGGCCAUAUACGGUUCUUAUCCUCCCGUCUUGAAACACGGACCAAGGAGUCUAACGUGCGCGCGAGUCAUAGGGUGUAAAAACCUAAAGGCGUAAUGAAAGUGAAGAAUUGACACUUCGUCUCUUUUUAGAUGUGAUUUGCUUUUUAGCUUUGCAACAUCGCCCGGCCAUGCCUUUGUGCGUGGUUCGAGGUCGAGCGUGUACGCUAGGACCCGAAAGAUGGUGAACUAUGCCUGGGUAGGGUGAAGCCAGGGGAAACCCUGGUGGAAGCUCGUAGCGAUACUGACGUGCAAAUCGUUCGUCAUACCUGGGUAUAGGGGCGAAAGACCAAUCGAACCAUCUAGUAGCUGGUUCCCUCCGAAGUUUCCCUCAGGAUAGCUGGGUCAAACAUCAGUUGCGUAUGGUAAAGCUAAUGAUUAGAGGAUUUUGGGACGAAACGUCUUGAACCUAUUCUCAAACUUUAAAUAUACGUGGCACACUUCUUCCCUUUCUGGUUGAUUUGUGAUAAUGAUAAAGACCUUAGUGGGCCAUUUUUGGUAAGCAGAACUGGCGAUGUGGGAUCAACCAAACGUUGAGUUAAGGUGCCAAAUAUUCGCUUAUGUAGAUUCCGUAAAAGGUGUUGGUUCAUAAAGACAGCAGGACGGUGGCCAUGGAAGUUGGAAUCCGCUAAGGAGUGUGUAACAACUCACCUGCCGAAUGAACUAGCCCUGAAAAUGGAUGGCGCUUAAGCGAAUAACCGAAACUUGACCGUUAACAUAACAUUGUUUUCAAUUUUCAUGUUAACGUGUAGGAGGGCGUGGUUCAUGUUAAGAAGCUUCGGGGGUAACCUCAGGUGGAGCAUGACCCAGUGCAGAUCUUGGUGGUAGUAGCAAGUAUUCAAAUGCGAACUUUGAAGACUGAAGUGGGGAAGGGUUCCAUGUUGAACAGCAGUUGGACAUGGGUUAGUCGGUCCUAAGAGAUGGGGUAAUUCCUUUUGGAAUAGCGUGCGACUUGGUAACUCGCACACUCUCAUCGAAAGGGAAUCCGGUUAAUAUUCCGGAACCAGAAUGUGGAUAAUGCGCGGUAACGCAACUGAUCCCUGUGACGUUGACGGAAGCCCCGGAAAGAGUUAUCUUUUCUUUUUAACACUUGUAACGACCCUGGAAUUGGUUUAUCCAGAGAUAGGGCCAACACAAUGUGGAAAAAGCACUCACAUCUGCUGAGUGUCCGGUGCGCUUUCGACAACCCUUGAAAAGCAGGGGGAGUUUAUUAUUUGCACUUCUGCCCGUACCUAUAACCGCAGCAGGUCCUCAAGGUUCACAACCUCUGGUGCUAGCGUCAAUGUAAGUAAGGGAAGUCGGCAACUUUGGUCCGUAACUUUGGGAUAAGGACUGGCUCUAAGGGCUGGGUGUUUGGGGUUCGCUUUCUGAAGCUUGUAACUAGAUUUGUGGCUAACGGACCUUCCCAUUCCAGGGAGGGACCGUGGUCCAGGUCCGGAUACUUGUGGACGGUUGCGAAAUGGUGACGGUUCAGUUGUUCCCAACUGUUCCGAAUCCUUUUCCCUGCACAAUUAACAGCCAUCUUAGAACUGUUGCGGACAUUGGGAAUCCGACUGUUUAAUUAAAACAAAGCAAUGUGAAGGUCAUCACCUGAUGCUGACACAUUGUGAUUUCUGCCCAGUGCUCUGAAUGUCACAGUGAAGAGAUUCAACCAAGCGCGGGUAAACGGCGGGAGUAACUAUGACUCUCUUAAGGUAGCCAAAUGCCUCGUCAGCUGACUACUGACGCGCAUGAAUGGAUUAACGAGAUUCCCACUGUCCCUACUUACAACGCAGUGAAACCACAGCCAAGGGAACGGGCUUGGAUAUAUUAGCGGGGAAAGAAGACCCUGUUGAGCUUGACUCUAGUUUGAUAUUGUGAGAUGACUUGGGAGGUAUAGAAUAAGUGGGAGUAACUUUGUUACGCCGAUGAAAUACCACUACUCUUGAUGUUGUUUCACUUAUUUGGUGAAGAGUAAAAUAGAAGCUAACGCUUCUAUAUUACAUGUGCAAAGUACUGUGGGCGUUCUUGGUUUCUCCGUCAGGGGUAACUUUGUUCGUCAACGAAACGGUGCGAUACUCGUCAAAGACAUUAUCAGGUGGGGAGUUUGGCUGGGGCGGCACAUCUGUUAAAAAAUAACACAGGUGUCCUAAGGUAAGCUCAAUGAGAACAGAAAUCUCAUGUGGAAUAAAAGGGUAAAAGCUUGCUU